GCCUGGGUGGCUCAGUGGGUUGAGCGUCUGACUUCAGCUCAGGUCAUAACCUUGUGGUUCAUGAGUUCAAGCCCCGCAUCGGGCU
rnacentral:tRNA from 1 species